CCUGGGCAGCAUGGGCAGAAGGUGGAAAAGGCUGACUUCAACCAGUCCUUGUAUUCUUUUGGUCUAGUGGACAAUGGGAACAAAGAAAGUGACUGGAAUUAGAUAGAAGGCAGUGGGUAGCUGGAAGUUCCACGAAGUGUGGAUUUUUUUGAAAAAACAUUAGUGGAGCUGUGUCUUAAUAUAGGUUUCAGCCUGAGUUGCUAACUGUUUAAGGAGAGUAUCAUUACUGCUUCCAAAGGGACCUACAUCAGCUCAAGGCCAAGGUAUUCCCCAAUUCCUCUGGAGGACUGCAAGAUAGACCAAAGAAGUAGCUAAAAAUGAGGAAAAUGAAUCCCCGAAAGAAGCAGCCAAAAUGACUGGGUCACAAAUAAGAGAGAAGAUUCUAGAUAUCAGAAGAUAUGAGAUAAUGGACAUAAAGGAUUUUGUAAACUUUGAAGAGCUUUAUAUAUGCCAGUUAUUAGUAUUGCUACUACUGUUAUUAUUAUUAGACAGAAUAAGAUGAUGGCUUUGUUGUUUGAGCCUUCCACACUACAUUUCUGCUGAGCUCAAGUAAUGUUCGUGAAGUGGUGUGCUGGCAUAUAUUUAACCAGCAGGGUCUCCAGGGGAAAAAAUGGAUGCACACAAUUUCAAAUUUAAUUUGCAUUAUUAACACUUUCUUAAAUCUAGACAAUUGACAAAACAAUCAAGCCCUGAUUUAUAACUUUCUGAUUUGCCGUAUAAAUGCUCACAGUGAAAAUUUAAUUGUCUCUCCACAAUUUUUAAUCUUUUCCAUUAAAACUUUCCAUUUAGUACUUUGCCUUUCUUCAUAAUAUUUGAAUUAUAAAAUUAAAAUGAUGAGAAAAAAGUAAGAAUUUAAAUUAAAAUCUGCAUAUACAAUAACAACAUUAUAAUAAACUUGUGAUCUCA